CCCUUAGAUGUUCUGGGCCGCACGCGCGCUACACUGACGCAUUCAACGAGUCUAAAACCUGCUCUGAUAGGGGUGGGUAAUCUUUUGAAUGUGCAUCGUGAUUGGGAUAGAUGAUUGCAAUUUUUCAUCUUCAACGAGGAAUGCCUAGUAAACGCAAGUCAUCAGCUUGCAUUGAUUACGCCCCUGCCCUUUGUACACACCGCCCGUCGCUCCUACCGAUUGAAUGAUCCGAUGAAUAUCAUGGAUUGAGGAUGCAAGUAGGUUCGCCUAUCUUCAUCUUCGAGAAGUGAAGUAAAUCUUAUCAUUUAGAGGAAGGAGAAGUCGUAACA
rnacentral:rRNA from 1 species